GGCAGCACAGAGUCUCUCUGAAUCUAUUCCGAUUCUGGGGGCUGCCCAAUUUGCAAAUCAUUCCCCAACAGAUGGUAUCAGAAGUGGGACCAGAAGUGGGGCAUCUAGCAACCCCCAGGAGCACUGAGUGACCAGGCAUGGGACCCACCGCGGGUCCAGGGUGUCCAUUGUUCUCUCGAAGCAACUGGGAAUUGUGGAUAAAUUGGUCCUGCGAAGAUUAUCUUUGAUGAAAAUGGAGAAUUGGAAAAAGAAAAAAGGAAGCAUGUGACAGCUUCGCUUGGGCAUAUCAGAAUUGCCAGCAUCACUACUCUUGCACUUUGGGGCCAUUAUUAAGUGAAAUAAGGAUUACUUGAACACAAGCACUGCGAUACUGCUACAGUCAAUGUGAUAAUGCAGCUGGUGACUAAGUGACCAAGGAUGGGGAGCUUCUACAGCGGGGAGACUCUGGAAAAAGGGAGGAUUCACAUCCAGUGGCAUUGGGACAGGACAGAGUGAGAGUUCAUCAUGCUACACAGAACAGCAUACAAUGUAUCCUCCUCUCACCUUCAGUGCCCAGAUGCAGGAGGUAACUCCCUGGUGAGGAAGACCUAAGUAUACGGCCAUAGAUUCAUAAGGAAAAUGGAGAGAAAAGUGCUUUUACCAGUGAUAAAUUUGAGAAAAUCUUUCAGAUGAGAUACUCUAAGUUUAUUUGCUUGUGUUGUUUUUGUUUCUGUGUUUGGUAACAUGAUUCCCCUCCCUGACCCAUGAUUACUUUAUAAAACUUAAUGUGCCAGUCAGGCAUGGUGGUGCAUGACUGUAAUUCAGUUAUUCCAGAGGCUGAGUCAGGAGGAUGACUUGAGCCCAGUAGUUUGAGGGUGCAGUGAACUAUGAUUGCACCACUGCACCCCUCAGUCCAUGAAGCAUUAUAAAUGCCAUCCUAAAAUGACCAGAAAUGUACUUAUGGCAUGUUUUAUUCAGUCCAAAAAAAAAAAAAAAAAACCGCCAAGCACAUUUAAUUGACUACUGAUGAUACUAUAAUGUUUUUAACAGGUAAGACCACACAGAAUAGUAAUAAGUUCUGUCUUUUCCAAAUCAUGUAAAAUCUCAGAAAUAGGCUUUCCUCCAAAUA